rnacentral:rRNA from 1 species
GAUGAACGCUGGCGGUAUGCUUAACACAUGCAAGUCGAACGGUCACUUCGGUGAUAGUGGCGGACGGGUGAGUAACGCGUGAGAAUCUGUCUUCAGGUCGGGGACAACAGUUAGAAAUGACUGCUAAUACCGGAUGUGCCUUUGGGUGAAAGAUUUAUUUCCUGAAAAAGAGCUCGCGUCAGAUUAGCUAGUAGGUGGUGUAAGAGACUACCUAGGCUCCGAUCUGUAGCUGGUCUGAGAGGACGAUCAGCCACACUGGAACUGAGACACGGUCCAGACUCCUACGGGAGGCAGCAGUGGGGAAUUGUCCGCAAUGGGCGAAAGCCUGACGGAGCAAUACCGCGUGAGGGACGAAGGCUUUUGGGUCGUAAACCUCUUUUCUCAAGGAAGAUGAUGACGGUACUUGAGGAAUAAGCAUCGGCUAACUCUGUG